CCUAUACGUGCUGUACGUAUAGAUAUUUUAUACAUUUUGCUCGUUUUGACAUUUAAUAUGAAAGUUAAGCCCACCUUAAACUUUGAAGAAUUUCGAGCCCAGGAGAGCUUGCGGUAUAUAUCGUAACAAUGGAGAAAUUGAUAAUUGAAAAUACAUAUCGAAAUGGAAGAACCGAGAACGGGAAAACAUAUAUUGGGCGGAGUACCUAUGCGAUACGUGAAAUGACAUAAAAAAAUAUACAUUAAACAAAGAGAAAGAGAGAGAGAGAGGGAGAGAGAGAGAGAAAGAG
rnacentral:misc_RNA from 1 species